AUUGAACGCUGGCGGAAUGCUUUACACAUGCAAGUCGAACGGCAGCACGGACUUCGGUCUGGUGGCGAGUGGCGAACGGGUGAGUAAUGUAUCGGAACGUGCCCAGUCGUGGGGGAUAACGUAGUGAAAAUUACGCUAAUACCGCAUACGAUCUAUGGAUGAAAGCGGGGGAUCGCAAGACCUCGCGCGAUUGGAGCGGCCGAUAUCAGAUUAGGUAGUUGGUGGGGUAAAGGCCCACCAAGCCAACGACCUGUAGCUGGUCUGAGAGGACGACCAGCCACACUGGAACUGAGACCCGGUCCAGCCUCCUAAGGGAGGCAGGAGAGGGGAAUUUUGGACAAUGGGCGAAAGCCUGAUCCAGCCAUUCCGCGUGCAGGAUGAAGGCCCUCGGGUUGUAAACUGCUUUUGUACAGAACGAAAAGGUUUCUACUAAUACUAGGAGCUCAUGACGGUACUGUAAGAAUAAGCACCGGCUAACUACGUGCCAGCCGCCGCCGUAA
rnacentral:rRNA from 1 species